rnacentral:rRNA from 1 species
AGUCGACGGUAACAGGGAGCAGCUUGCUGCUUCGCUGACAAGUGGCGCACGGGGGAGUAAUGUCUGGGAAACUGCCUGAUGGAGGGGGAUAACUACUGGAAACGGUAGCUAAUACCGCAUAACGUCGCAAGACCAAAGAGGGGGACCUUCGGGCCUCUUGCCAUCGGAUGUGCCCAGAUGGGAUUAGCUACUAGGUGGGGUAACGGCUCACCUAGGCGACGAUCCCUACCUGGUCUGACAGGAUGACCAACCACACUGGAACUGACACACGGUCCAGACUCCUACGGGAGGCAGCAGUGGGGAAUAUUGCACAAUGGGCGCAAGCCUGAUGCAGCCAUGCCGCGUGUGUGAAGAAGGCCUUCGGGUUGUAAAGCACUUUCACCUGGGAGGAAGGCGGUAAGGUUAAUAACCUUACCGAUUGACGUUACCCGCAGAACAAGCACCGGCUAACUCCGUGCCAGCAGCCGCGGUAAUACGGAGGGUGCAAGCGUUAAUCGGAAUUACUGGGCGUAAAGCGCACGCAGGCGGUCUGUCAAGUCGGAUGUGAAAUCCCCGGGCUCAACCUGGGAACUGCAUUCGAAACUGGCAGGCUAGAGUCUUGUAUAGGGGGGUAGAAUUCCAGGUGUAGCGGUGAAAUGCGUAGAGAUCUGGAGGAAUACCGGUGGCGAAUGCGGCCCCCUGGACAAAGACUGACGCUCAGGUGCUAAAGCGUGGGGAGCAAACAGGAUUAGAUACCCUGGUAGUCCACUCCGUAGACGAUGUCGACUUGGAGGUUGUGCCCAUGAGGCGUGUCUUCCCGGAGCUAACGCGUUAACUCGACCGCCUGGGGAGUAC